AAAUCCGCACGACUUGUCGAACCUGAUAGUACAGCAAAGCUUCGGCAGCGCUGAUAGUGAUCCUAAUCAUACCUCCGAGAAAAACCUCUAAGUUAUGGUGUAAGCAGCCCGUACCGUAAACCGACACAGGUGGGUGGGAUGAAUAUUCUAAGGCGCUCGGGUGAGCCGUGGAGAAGGAACUAGGCAAAUUGACGCUGUAACUUCGGGAUAAAGCGUACCGUCUUCGGACGGUCUCAGUAAAAUGGUUCAACCAACUGUUUAGCAAAAACACAGGGCCCUGCAAAAUCGAAAGAUGACGUAUAGAGCCUGAUACCUGCCCGGUGCUGGAAGGUUAAGGAAGGAUGUUCGGCGCAAGCCAAAGCUUCUGACUGAAGCCCCAGUAAACGGCGGCCGUAACGAUAACGGUCCUAAGGUAGCGAAAUUCCUUGUCGGGUAAGUUCCGACCUGCACGAAUGGUCUAAUGAGUUGAACACUGUCUCCUCCACGAGCCCGGUGAAAUUGUAGUAUCGGUGAAGAUGCCGGUUACCCGUCACGGGACGGAAAGACCCCAUGAACCUUCACUACAACUUUGCAUUGAUUUUGAAUUUUUGAUGUGUAGGAUAGUUGGGAGACUUUGAAGCUGUGUCGCUAGGCAUGGUGGAGUCGUUGUUGAAAUACCAACCUUUAAACAUUUAGAAUCUAAUCCCUAACGGGAAACAGUGCAUGGUGGGUAGUUUGACUGGGGUGGUCGCCUCCUAAAGUGUAACGGAGGCUUGCAAAGGUUCCCUCAGUACGGUUGGUAAUCGUACAUAGAGCGUAUUAGUAUAAGGGAGCUUGACUGUGAGACUUACAAGUCGAGCAGGGACGAAAGUCGGCUAAAGUGAUCCGGCGGUUCUGUAUGGAAGGGCCGUCGCUCAAAGGAUAAAAGGUACUCUGGGAUAACAGGCUGAUCUCCCCCAAGAGCUCAUAUCGACGGGGAGGUUUGGCACCUCGAUGUCGGUUCGUCACAUCCUGGGGCUGGAGAAGGUCCCAAGGGUUCGGCUGUUCGCCGAUUAAAGUGGCACGUGAACUGGGUUCAGAACGUCGCAAGACAGUUCGGUCCCUAUCUGUGAUGGGCGCUAGUAAAUUGAAAGGACAUGACCUUAGUACGAGAGGACCGGCUCGUACACACCGCUGGUGUAUCUGUUGUGCCGCCAGGUGCAAUGCAGAGUAGCUAUGUGUGGCCAGGAUAAACGCUGAAAGCAUCUAAGCGUGAAACCUUCCUUAAGAUGAGUUUACUUUUAAGGGUCGUCAGAGACUAUGACGUUGAUAGGCUAUAGGUAUAAAGGUGGUAACAUCAAAGCCGAGUAGUACUAAUUGCCCGUAAGCUUUACUAA
rnacentral:rRNA from 1 species